ACGCUCGACACCUACAGGAGGCAGCAGUGGGGAAUAUUGGGCAAUGGGCGCAAGCCUGACCCAGCAACGCCGCGUGAAGGAAGAAGGCCCUCGGGUUGUAAACUUCUUUUAACAGGGACGAAGUAAGUGACGGUACCUGUUGAAUAAGCCACGGCUAACUACGUGCUAGCAGCCGCGGUAAUCUGAGCGGGCUGGCAAGGC
rnacentral:rRNA from 1 species